rnacentral:rRNA from 1 species
AGUGAAAGCUGGCGGUAGGCCUAACACAUGCAAGUCGAACGGCAGCACAGGAGAGCUUGCUCUCUGGGUGGCGAGUGGCGGACGGGUGAGGAAUACAUCGGAAUCUACUCUGUCGUGGGGGAUAACGUAGGGAAACUUACGCUAAUACCGCAUACGACCUACGGGUGAAAGCAGGGGACCUUCGGGCCUUGCGCGAUUGAAUGAGCCGAUGUCGGAUUAGCUAGUUGGCGGGGUAAAGGCCCACCAAGGCGACGAUCCGUAGCUGGUCUGAGAGGAUGAUCAGCAACACUGGAACUGAGACACGGUCCAGACUCCUACGGGAGGCAGCAGUGGGGAAUAUUGGACAAUGGGCGCAAGCCUGAUCCAGCCAUACCGCGUGGGUGAAGAAGGCCUUCGGGGUGUAAAGCCCUUUUGUUGGGAAAGAAAUCCAGCUGGCUAAUACCCGGUUGGGAUGACGGUACCCAAAGAAUAAGCACCGGCUAACUUCGUGCCAGCCGCCGCCGUAA